UAGCUCCUCGGCUUUGAUAGUCCGACCUACGGAAGCAGUCGAGGUUGCUAGAGUUGCUGAGCCGAUGGCGUCCGUGCCUAUCGGGGUUGGUUCCGAAGACCUAAGUCUCGAUCGGAGUACUCCGAGUGAUUUGCUCGGGGCAAUGGCAAUGGGUCAUUCACCUUCCCUUCCGUCUUUUUCUGAGUAGGCGUUGAAGGAGGCUCGAGAACUGAAGACUCCCGACAUUAGUGCUGGCUCAGGUGCAGCGGAUCCUUUUAAGGAUUGUUUUACUGGUGUUAAUGACAGUUCUGAUAUCGGUGAUGCUUCUCUUUUGUUAGAGGAAGCUCAGCAUUUUAUUACUCGGGCCAUCGGUAGGUUUCGAGUUGAUCUUAGCCAGUGUGAGGCCGAACUCCGGAAGGUCCUAGGUGAAAGAGAUGACCUUCUGCUUCUUUGUAGCAAAAAGGAGGAGGCUAUAAAGGAUCUUCAAGCAGAUUUGGCUAAGGUUCGUGAAGAAAGGGUCGAGCUCGAUCAGCAGUUGCAGCAAAAGAUCGAGAAGAUCGGGCUACUUCGGGAGGAGGUCGAUCAAAUCCGGACCGAAUGCAACCAGUGGAAGGAGACUAUUGACCGCCUGGCAGCGGAGAAAGAAACCAUCUUAACAAAGUUAUUAUCAGCCGACGUUUAGCUUCGAAACGUCAAGCAAAAGGUGUCAGUUCAGGCUAAGAAAAUUGAUGAGCUUGAGAUACGACUUGCUGAGGCUAAGGCAGAGGUUGAGUCAUCGAAACUUUUGGCGGAUAAGUCUAUUGCUGUAUAUCGAGC